CCUACGGGUGGCAGCAGUGAGGAAUAUUGGUCAAUGGACGAGAGUCUGAACCAGCUAAGUAGCGUGAAGGAUGACUGCCCUAUGGGUUGUAAACUUCUUUUAUAUGGGAAUAAAGUGAGGAACGUGUUCCUUUUUGUAUGUACCAUAUGAAUAAGCAUCGGCUAACUCCGUGCCAGCAGCCGCGGUAAUACGGAGGAUGCGAGCGUUAUCCGGAUUUAUUGGGUUUAAAGGGUGCGUAGGUGGUUAAUUAAGUCAGCGGUGAAAGUUUGUGGCUCAACCAUAAAAUUGCCGUUGAAACUGGUUGACUUGAGUGGGCGAGAAGUAUGCGGAAUGCGUGGUGUAGCGGUGAAAUGCAUAGAUAUCACGAAGAAGUCCGAUUGCGAAGGCAGCAUACCGGCGCCCGACUGACACUGAGGCGCGAAAGCGUGGGGAUCGAACAGGAUUAGAUACCCCAGUAGUC
rnacentral:rRNA from 1 species